rnacentral:rRNA from 1 species
UGAAUACGAGAUGCUACGGCGUCGAAGCAGUCUAUGUCAUACUUCCAAGAAAAGCUUGCACUGUCAUAAACAAAUAAUGCCUGUACCAUAACCGACACAGGUGGGUAGGUAGAGUAUACUAAGGGGCGCGAGAUAACUCUCUCUAAGGAACUCGGCAAAAUGACUCCGUAACUUCGGGAGAAGGAGUGCCUUAUUUAUAAGGUUGCAAUAACAAGAUCCAAGCAACUGUUUACCAAAAACACGGGUCUCCGCUAAGUCGUAAGACGAUGUAUGGGGGCUGACGCCUGCCCAGUGCCAGAAGGUUAAAGAAGUUGGUUAGCAUCCGCGAAGCUGAUAACUGAAGCCCUGGUGAACGGCGGCCGUAACGAUAACGGUCCUAAGGUAGCGAAAUUCCUUGUCGGGUAAGUUCCGACCCGCACGAAAGGCGUAAUGAUUUGGAUACUGUCUCGGAGAGGGGCUCGGUGAAAUAGACUUGUCUGUGAAGAUGCGGACUACCUGCACCAGGACAGAAAGACCCUAUGAAGCUUUACUGUAACCUGAAAUUGAAAUUGGACUUUACUUGCGCAGUAUAGGUGGGAGGCGUUGAGAAUAUUCUUGCGGGAUUAUUGGAGCCAUCAGUGAGAUACCACUCUUGUAAUGUUAGAUUUCUAACUUUGUAUCAUUAUCUGGUCAAAGAACAGUUUCAGGCGGGCAGUUUGACUGGGGCGGUCGCCUCCUAAACGGUAACGGAGGCGCACAAAGGUUUCCUCUGAACGGGUAGAAAUCGUAUCUAGAGUGUAAAGGCAUAAGGAAGCUUGACUGUGAGACCUACAAGUCGAGCAGGGACGAAAGUCGGUCUUAGUGAUCUGACGGUGCUGAGUGGAAAGGCCGUCACUCAACGGAUAAAAGUUACUCUAGGAUAACAGGCUGAUCUCCCCCAAGAGUUCACAUCGACGGGGAGGUUUGGCACCUCGAUGUCGGCUCAUCGCAUCCUGGGGCGGUAGUACGUCCCAAGGGUUGGGCUGUUCGCCCAUGAAAGCGGUACGCGAGCUGGGUUCAGAACGUCGUGAGACAGUUCGGUCCAUAUCCGGUGUAGGCGUUAGAAUAUUGAGAGGAGCCUUCUUUAGUACGAGAGGACCGAGAAGGACAUACCUCUGGUGUACCAGUUAUCGUGCCAACGGUAAACGCUGGGUAGCUAUGUGUGGAGUGGAUAACCGCUGAAAGCAUCUAAGUGGGAAGCCCACCUCAAGAUAAGUAUUCUC